rnacentral:tRNA from 6 species
GCCAUCAUAGCUUAGUGGUAGAGCAUCGGUCUUGUAAACCGAAGGUCGUGGGUUCGAUUCCCAUUGGUGGCU